rnacentral:rRNA from 1 species
GAUGAACGCUGGCGGCGUGCCUAAUACAUGCGAGUCGAGCGAACAGACGAGGAGCUUGCUCCUCUGACGUUAGCGGCGGACGGGUGAGUAACAUGUGGAUAACCUACCUAUAAGACUGGGAUAACUUCGGGAAACCGGAGCUAAUACCGGAUAAUAUAUUGAACCGCAUGGUUCAAUAGUGAAAGACGGUUUUGCUGUCACUUAUAGAUGGAUCCGCGCCGCAUUAGCUAGUUGGUAAGGUAACGGCUUACCAAGGCAACGAUGCGUAGCCGACCUGAGAGGGUGAUCGGCCACACUGGAACUGAGACACGGUCCAGACUCCUACGGGAGGCAGCAGUAGGGAAUCUUCCGCAAUGGGCGAAAGCUUGACGGAGCAACGCCGCGUGAGUGAUGAAGGUCUUCGGAUCGUAAAACUCUGUUAUUAGGGAAGAACAAAUGUGUAAGUAACUAUGCACGUCUUGACGGUACCUAAUCAGAAAGCCACGGCUAACUACGUG